AGGCAGCAUGGGGUCCAAUUAGACUUCCAAAAACAACCACGGUGUAGGAGGAGCUACUGCUGUGUUUGUGUCUCAGCGAGAGAGUGUGUGUGUGUGUGUGUGUGUGUGUGUGUGUGUGUGUGUGUGUGUGUGUGUGUGUGUGUCAGAGGGAGAGAAAGAGAGAGCGAGAGAGAGGAGAGGGGGCAUAGCAGCAGCUUUACUGUUUCCUAUAGCAGGUUAUCACAGACUAACAGCAGCUUUACUGUUUCCUAUAGCAGGUUAUCACAGACUAACAGCAGCUUUACUGUUUCCUAUAGCAGGUUAUCACAGACUAACAGCAGCUUUACUGUUUCCUGUAGCAGGUUAUCACAGACUAACAGCAGCUUUACUGUUUCCUGUAGCAGGUUAUCACAGACUAACAGCAGCUUUAGUGACUUUUCAGUGCUGACAUUUACAUUUGAAACAGGUUCUCUCACACAUUUUCUUCAUCUUCCCUGUUUUCCCACUUUUAAUGUGUUCCUCUUCAAAGACUUGCUGGUCUUGCCUUGGAGCAUUCAUCAGAGCGGUCCUGAAACCCUACUCUUCCACCCUUCCUUGUCAAUUCCUCCCCCACCCAGGGCAGUGCCGCACAGCCCCAACGGAGGACUGAGAGGGCAGUGCCCAUCUUACAAGGGCCACCACACCCCCUGACCUGGCAUGAAGAGCGGAGACUGACAGAAGUAUGUGAGUAUCUCUCACUCUUACACACACACACACACAAUGUACCCAUUAACUGAACAUGCCCAUGCCAACUGCUCACAAAGGUUGUACCUGAAUGUGAGCACCCACAUGCACACACACACACAGAGAAUCGUAGAUACACACAGACCUAACAAUAGUGGGAAAAGGCCUGGGAAUCCUCAAUACACCAGAAUACACCAGAAUACUGCUUUUGAACCAUAGUCCAUAGUCCAUUUCAUGCAUAAAUACUGAAGAAUAAUGCCUGAGAAUUAAAGGUUUGAUUUCUAAACAUGACAUAUAAUCCUGAACCGUAGUUCAGAAACCUCAACAUGAGUUGUAUUUAUGAACCGUAGUUCACAUCACACGCACACACACAAAUAUGGAGGUGUUCAAUCUUUCCUAGUGAACGUUAAAGCAGGUUACGUGUCAAAGGCACUUCACUACGGUUUAAACUACACAUCUGAGUGGCAGCAGAUUGCUCUCGUGUGUGUGGAAGCAUUGUGGAGCGAGAGAGAAUGAAAGAGAGAAAGCACAGUAACAAGCCGGGGAAGAUGUCCCAUUGUCCUAUUCCGCCUGGUACACACACCCGUACACAUACCCGUACACACACCCGUACACACACCAGUAGACACACCUGUACACACACCCGUAGACUACUCAUCACACAAAGGACAGAGUGAUGGGGAGAUCAGCCAAUAAAAAAGAUAUAGAGAGAAUAGAGAGAGAAAUCAGAUGAGACCAAGAGACAGAUCAGAAAGACAGAGUGGUGACAACAAAUCUAAUCCUCUAGGGGUGAGGUGAGGUUCCACCAAUCAAGGCCUUUCCAUCCAAUCAACAUGCGGAGCUUAGAUCCAGAUACUCCCCCAACAAAGGAGCACAAUAUGGAACUAAAUCCAUCAUGUUCCAUUCAAUCCAGCAGGAAAUGGAUUCCCUAUAAAGAAGGUGACUGCUCAAACAGGAAUGUAUCAUUUUGUAAUACAGAUUUGCUUGAACUUGGGUUCACCGCGAAUAACGUUGGAUGGAAUUAUAGAUACUUGGGAGGAGGAGGAGGAGGAGGAUAAAGACAUGACAGGAGACAUGUGUUUGUGUAACUGACACCUUGGCUCUGGUUGAGAAUGUCAUUCUCCAGACAGAUUGGACUUAAGUAACAGACAUGAAAAUGCUCUGUACAGUAGGAUCGGGUUAGCUGUGUGUGUGUGUGUGUGUGUGUGUGUGUGUGUGUGUUCUAGAUAGAUUUAACUGAUAGUAACACAAACAUAAAGCCACAAAGACAACGUACUGUAGGAUCAGGUUAGUGAUAUUGUUAACAAUACACCACUAUGUGUCACCGUGUCUCUCUCCUGGUUGACUAGUGGAAAACAGGGCUGUUUAGAAACAACACUGUCCUGUUGAAAUGAUGUAGGGCAGCAUCGAGGCAGACAGCAACACACACACAACCUUUGACCCUAACCUGAUGUGACUGACUUUCAACCUGAGUUGUCUGCAUGACUACAGAACAAAUUAUACCUCUGAGCUAAAUCUCAUAGCUAACAUCAAUCUUCUGGGCCCGUGUUCUCAAACCCAGUUGAAGUGCUGAUCUAGGGUCAGUUUACUGUAAAUCAUAAUGAUUAAGAAGGGGUAUCUGAUUCUGAUUCAGCAUUCCUACUCAGAUACUUUGUGAAUAUGCACUCAGGGGCCGUAUGCGUCAAGCGUCUCUGAGUGGGAGUGCUGACUUAAGAUCAGUUUGGCCUUUUAGAUCCCUAUUAUGAAGAAUGCAUGGAUGAAAACAUACUCUGAGAUGCUUUGUGAAUACAGGCCCUGGUCGGAGGGAUUGUCAUUGCAUAAGCUUUAGUUCAGUGAACCACCUCUGCUACAGUGACUCAGACACAAAGAAGAAAAUAGGAGAGUCCCCAAAGCACAUUGACCCCCAUUUACUCUCUAGUAAAAAACUCAUGCCAUUAAACUCAAACCCAAA
rnacentral:lncRNA from 13 species